AUUGAACGCUGGCGGCGUGCCUAACACAUGCAAGUCGAGCGGCAGCGCGGGAGCAAUCCUGGCGGCGAGCGGCGGACGGGUGAGUAACGCUUGGGAAUCUGCCCGUUAGUGGGGGACAACCCGGGGAAACUCGGGCUAAUACCGCAUACGCACUACGGUGGAAAGCCGGGGACCGCAAGGCCUGGCGCUAACAGAUGAGCCCAAGUCGGAUUAGCUAGUUGGUAGGGUAACGGCCUACCAAGGCGACGAUCCGUAACUGGUCUGAGAGGACGACCAGUCACACCGGAACUGAGACACGGUCCGGACUCCUACGGGAGGCAGCAGUGGGGAAUAUUGGACAAUGGGGGAAACCCUGAUCCAGCGACGCCGCGUGGGUGAAGAAGGCCUGCGGGUUGUAAAGCCCUUUCAGUGGGGAAGAAAGCCUCGACCUAACACGUCGGGGUCUUGACGUAACCCAUAGAAGAAGCACCGGCUAACUCUGUGCCAGCAG
rnacentral:rRNA from 1 species